rnacentral:piRNA from 1 species
UAGUGAGCUAAAGUUCGGGGGU